GAUCCUGGCUCAGGAUGAACGCUAGCUACAGGCUUAACACAUGCAAGUCGACGGGCAGCGGGAAGUCAGCUUGCUGACUUUGCCGGCGACCGGCGCACGGGUGAGUAACACGUAUCCAACCUCCCGCAUACUCGGGAAUAGCCUUUCGAAAGAAAGAUUAAUGCCUGAUGGUUUCAAGGGAUUGCAUGGUAUCUUGAAUAAAGAUUCAUCGGUAUGCGAUGGGGAUGCGUU
rnacentral:rRNA from 1 species